rnacentral:rRNA from 1 species
GAUGAACGCUCGCUACAGGCUUAACACAUGCAAGUCGAGGGGAAACGACAUCGAAAGCUUGCUUUUGAUGGGCGUCGACCGGCGCACGGGUGAGUAACGCGUAUCCAACCUGCCCAUCACUUGGGAAUAACCUUGCGAAAGUAAGACUAAUACCCAAUGACAUCCCACGAAGACAUCUGAAUGGGAUUAAAGAUUUAUCGGUGAUGGAUGGGGAUGCGUCUGAUUAGCUUGUUGGCGGGGUAACGGCCCACCAAGGCAACGAUCAGUAGGGGUUCUGAGAGGAAGGUCCCCCACAUUGGAACUGAGACACGGUCCAAACUCCUACGGGAGGCAGCAGUGAGGAACAUUGGUCAAUGGGCGAGAGCCUGAACCAGCCAAGUAGCGUGCAGGAUGACGGCCCUAUGGGUUGUAAACUGCUUUUAUAAGGGAAUAAAGUGGGUCUCGUGAGACUUUUUGCAUGUACCUUAUGAAUAAGGACCGGCUAAUUCCGUG